GAUUUCUGCCCUGUGCUCCGAAUGUCAAAGUGAAGAAAUUCAAUGAAGCCCGGGUAAACGGCAGGAGUAACUAUGACUCUCUUAAGGUAGCCAAAUGCCUCGUCAUCUAAUUAGUGACGCGCAUGAAUGGAU
rnacentral:ncRNA from 1 species